GAUGAACGCUGGCGGCGUGCCUAAUACAUGCAAGUCGAGCGAACCACUUCGGUGGUGAGCGGCGAACGGGUGAGUAACACGUAGGUUAUCUGCCCAUCAGACGGGGACAACGAUUGGAAACGAUCGCUAAUACCGGAUAGGACGAAAGUUUAAAGGUGCUUCGGCACCACUGAUGGAUGAGCCUGCGGCGCAUUAGCUAGUUGGUAGGGUAAAGGCCUACCAAGGCGACGAUGCGUAGCCGACCUGAGAGGGUGAACGGCCACACUGGGACUGAGACACGGCCCAGACUCCUACGGGAGGCAGCAGUAGGGAAUCUUCGGCAAUGGGCGAAAGCCUGACCGAGCAACGCCGCGUGAAUGAUGAAGGCCUUCGGGUUGUAAAAUUCUGUUAUAAGGGAAGAAUGACUUUAGUAGGAAAUGGCUAAAGUGUGACGGUACCUUAUGAGAAAGCCACGGCUAACUACGUGCCAGCCGCCGCCGUAA
rnacentral:rRNA from 1 species